CCCUCUGCCAGUCUGGGAUCCUCCCAGCCUCAGCCUAACACAGGGGGGGCGGGAGGGGGGGUGGCAAGAAGAGGAAAGGAAGGAGAGGAGGAAGCUAUCCGGCACACACACACACAAAAAAAAACAAGAUUUAUGCCCAGGAGGAUUGGAGCAGGAAAAUCCAGGCUCAGAGCUGGCUGUUAAAAUCCCUGCAUUUCCCACAAACACAAACCCCUCUCUCGGCUUUGGGCCAUGAAGGUGGGGAAAAGUAGAUUUCUUAGACGUCCGUUUGGAGAAAGGAAAGCCCAAAGCUGACCAAGACAAAACAGGAAUCACCUCCAACACUCUUGGUGAGCUUCAAGGACAAAAACAACCUUUGAAACCUAGAAUUUCCGUUCUACUCAUCCGUUAAAAGUUAAUGCCCUGAAAAAAGUCACUGGGAUUUUGGUGUGUGUGUGUGCACGUUUGGCUUUCUAUAUAUUUUUUAUUUUUUUUGAAAAAGAAAAGCUUUAAGAUAUCACCUGUAGAGAAAACUCAUCGCCUUUUUAAUCCCUUUUUAAAAAAAAA